rnacentral:rRNA from 1 species
UACGUAGGGUGCGAGCGUUAAUCGGAAUUACUGGGCGUAAAGUGUGCGCAGGCGGCUGAGCAAGUCGAGUGUGAAAGCCCCGGGCUUAACUUGGGAAUUGCGCUCGAAACUACUUUGCUGGAGUGUGGCAGAGGAAGGUGGAAUUCCACGUGUAGCGGUGAAAUGCGUAGAGAUGUGGAGGAACACCAAUGGCGAAGGCGGCAUCCUGGACCGGUAUUGACGCUGAAACGCGAAAGCUAGGGUAGCAAACGGG